UACGUAGGGUGCAAGCGUUAAUCGGAAUUACUGGGCGUAAAGCGUGCGCAGGCGGUUUUGUAAGUUUGUCGUGAAAGCCCCGGGCUCAACCUGGGAAUUGCGAUGAAGACUGCAAGGCUUGAAUCUGGCAGAGGGGGGUAGAAUUCCCCGUGUAGCAGUGAAAUGCGUAGAGAUGUGGAGGAACACCGAUGGCGAAGGCAGCACCCUGGGUCAAGAUUGACGCUCAUGCACGAAAGCGUGGGGAGCAAACAGG
rnacentral:rRNA from 1 species